rnacentral:sRNA from 1 species
GCCGGGCGUGGUGGUACACACCUGUAAUCUCAGCAGCUUGGGAGGCUGAGGCAGUAGGAUCACAAGUUCAAAGCUAGUCUUAGCAACUUAGUGAGGCCUUAAGGAACUCAGUGAGACCCUGUCUCUA